ensembl:lncRNA
GUUGUGGUUUCUGAGGAUCAGAAAGGCUUGAAUGGUAUUACAUAAGUUCUGCUUUUGUGGGGAGAUAACAGUUCUAUAAAUUUAGGGAUUCUCUACACACCUCAUUUACAAAAACAACUUUAUUAACCUUCGUAUCUCUGGGUUCUGAGACAAUAAUCACAUUUAUACCAUGAGAUUCCUGUAUUUUCUCUUCAUUGGUGUCUUUGUUCUGUCCUUGGCAACAUCAGGUUUCACUGGAUUAUCAAGUCAACCUCCAUAUUCCUGUAGUGUAUGCCCUCCUUCAACCUGUCGGUUAAAAUCAUUACCCUGCAAAAAGGCAAUUGAUGGUACCUGUCCUACAGGUAUGCAGUGCUGUGUGAAUGAUUCAUCUCAAAAAGAAUGCUGAAGAACUUUAUCUCUGCAUGGAACCCUCACCAAGUGCAAGAAUGAAAGUUACUGCCUAGAAUAAAAAAACAAAACAAAACACAGACUUCCUCUGAAUCUUGACUGAAUCUUGUUUCAUUUACUUCUGAUAAGGAAUCAGGGUGGGGGUAGGAAGAAGAGGAAUCUGACUGAGAAAAGUUAGGAGAUGCAGAGAGAUAAGGAGGAUCUGUCUCUAAGGCAAAGUCACAGUUCUAGUUCUGCCACAUAGAUAUCUUGCUCAAGACUCAGUCAUUUGUUAACUCUUCAUGUUUGUGUAACAAGUUGAUAGGAACAAUUAGGCUUUUUCUUUUGUGCAUUUGUGCACACUGGGGUUAGAUGAUUUCCUAUAUGUUGCUGCAAUACACCCAACUCUAAUCAUUCUCACAUAAUCAUUUACAUUUCCAUGUAAAUUUAUUAAUCCCUCCCUUUCCCUAUCCGGAGACCAGACUCACAAAUGCAUGUGUGUGGGCUGGUAAUUGUCUAGUUUGGUGAUCUGAGGGACAUUAGAAACUCUCUAAUAUACUAGGAUAUCAGUUAUCUUUCUCACUCUCAUGUACCACAUCAACUGGACAAGAAUCAGCCUCUAAUCUGCAUGUUAUUGGGUGGGAGCCAAAUAAAGCAGGACACAAACAGAAGUUUAAUUAAUUUCAAAGUGACAAAAGUGCUUGCAAACAGAACUUCUUCCCUCUCCCUUCUCUGAGAAGGAGGACUUAACAUGCUGGGGGUAAAGGUAGGGUUUUACAUAAGUAGACAGGACCAUGACAUAACCAUUCAAAACCAUUCUCACUGAGGAUCCAUGCAUGAAUAAUGCAAGCAUUCCUGUAUCUUGUGGGAAUAGUCUCCAAGUUGAUUUUCUCUCAGAAACAAACAGAACCAGAGUUUGAGCGGUGGGAACAGAAGUGUAGUAAUGGGUUUGAUUCACUUAGUUUUUAUAAGAAAUAGGGAUUGUGAGCUUGUCAAAAGGUGUGACAGAUGUUGGUUUGCAGGUCCCUGGGAAAUAGGGGGAAUUAAAAUCAUAAAUUCCUCAGUAAACACCUAGCCCUGGUUAAAACAAUACACUCUGACAGAGAGUGAAUCAUCCAGAGUGCAAAGGAUUGUGGUUAUGCCAAGUUCAGGGCACAGCUUGCUUGCUGGGAAACACGGUAUUUCCAAUAUAUAUAUUGUAAUGCCAAAGUUCCCUUUUAAUGGGGUGACCAAUUGUCCUAUUUAGUAAUUUUGCCUUAAGGUUAUGACCGUCCCCUCUUAAUGGUUGAGAUAAAGGUUUAUAGACAUUCCUUAAUGUCAUUAGAAUAUCAGUAACCUCCCUCUAUGAGGCUAUCCCCACCUAGGUCCCUCCAUUGUUGUUAUUCCAUAAAAGGUUCCCUGCCCAAAGACUCUGGGCUAGACAAUUUGAGAUGAUAGUCUCGUCUAGCCCUGGGAUCAACAUGGAUCCCAGUAUUUCUCUCCAUUUAAUAAACUAUUGAAUUGGUCUCUAAUCUCUUUCUUGCUCAGUUUCUUUGGCAUUACAUUUGGAGGCCCCAGCGAGAUAAUUAGAAAAUGAGCAGGAUUAGAGAUGAGAUUUUUGGGUCUCUGCCUUGGGCGGGGUGGCUGCAAAUCUGAAUUCUUGGCCUGGAGAGGUCGGGCCCUCCUGGAUUUCUUUCCAGAGCCUCCGGGAAAGAGAGCAGUUUCCAGCCACAAUAGCCUGAUGGUAGACAACCCCAUUUUGGCCACAGGAGAGUAAGUUUGUCUGGGUACCUUUUGGGGUACCAUCUGGUUAUGUCUUAAGACUUGUUUUGUUUGUUUGGUUUGGUUGAUUAGUGAAUAACCGGACUGCAUGGUUGUAAGGUUGUCACUUUUGGGGUUCCCUUGGGGUACCGAUUGGUUUGGUUGAUUAGUGAAUAACUGGACGAGGUUGUCACUUGGGGUGCCCUUUUUGGGGGUGCCAUUUGCUUGGUUGAUGAGUGGCCUACUGGACGCAG